UUGAGAUUAGAUGCAGAUCAGCGUGCAGGGCUGGACGUGAGGAUGGGGCACUCUUUGCUCUGUUUGCUGGGGUUAUUCUUGCUCAGUACAGUCAGACAUGGAAACACUGAAGAUAAACCCAGGGCCACACUGACAGCAGGAACUACAAUCAUACCAGUAGGGGGC